AGUGAAUAGAUACCCGGGUAGUCCAAGCGGUAAACUAUGGGUACUAGAUGUCGGAGGUAUCGACCCCUCCGGUGUCGCAGCUAAACGCAGUAAGUACCCCGCCUGGGGAGUACGACCGCAAGGUUGAAACUCAAAGAAAUUGACGGGGGCCCGCACAAGCGGUGGAGUAUGUGGUUUAAUUCGAAGCAACGCGCAGAACCUUACCUGGGUUUGACAUGCACGGGACAGGCGGUGAGAGUCGCCCUGCUCUUCGGAGCUCCGUGCACAGGUGCUGCAUGGCUGUCGUCAGCUCGUGCCGUGAGGUGUUGGGUUAAGUCCCGCAACGAGCGCAACCCUCGUCUAUAGUUGCCAUCAGGUUAUGCUGGGCACUCUAUAGAGACUGCCGGUGACAAGCCGGAGGAAGGUGGGGAUGACGUCAAGUCCUCAUGGCCCUUACAUCCAGGGCUACACACGUACUACAAUGGCCAGUACAGAAGGUUGCAAGACCGCAAGGUGGAGCUAAUCCCCAAAACUGGCCUCAGUUCAGAUUGGA
rnacentral:rRNA from 1 species